rnacentral:rRNA from 1 species
UACGAAGGGGGCUAGCGUUGCUCGGAAUCACUGGGCGUAAAGCGCACGUAGGCGGAUUGCUAAGUCAGGGGUGAAAUCCUGGAGCUCAACUCCAAAACUGCCUUUGAUACUGGCGAUCUUGAGUCCGGGAGAGGUGAGUGGAACUGCGAGUGUAGAGGUGAAAUUCGUAGAUAUUCGCAAGAACACCAGUGGCGAAGGCGGCUCACUGGCCCGGUACUGACGCUGAGGUGCGAAAGCGUGGGGAGCAAACAGG